AGAGUUUGAUCAUGGCUCAGGACGAACGCUGGCGGCGUGCUUAACACAUGCAAGUCGAGCGGAAAGGCUCCUUCGGGGGUACUCGAGCGGCGAACGGGUGAGUAACACGUGAGUAACCUGCCUUCAGCUUUGGGAUAACCCUCGGAAACGGGGGCUAAUACCGGAUAUUCACUUUCGCGGGCAUCUGUGGGGGUGGAAAGUUUUUCGGCUGGGGAUGGGCUCGCGGCCUAUCAGCUUGUUGGUGGGGUAAUGGCCUACCAAGGCGGCGACGGGUAGCCGGCCUGAGAGGGCGACCGGCCACACUGGGACUGAGACACGGCCCAGACUCCUACGGGAGGCAGCAGUGGGGAAUAUUGCACAAUGGGCGGAAGCCUGAUGCAGCGACGCCGCGUGAGGGAUGACGGCCUUCGGGUUGUAAACCUCUUUCGACCCUGACGAAGCGUGAGUGACGGUAGGGGGAGAAGAAGCACCGGCCAACUACGUGCCAGCAGCCGCGGUAAGACGUAGGGUGCGAGCGUUGUCCGGAUUUAUUGGGCGUAAAGAGCUCGUAGGCGGCUCGUCGCGUCGUCCGUGAAAACCCGCGGCCUAACCGCGGGCUUGCGGUUGAUACGGGCGGGCUAGAGUUCGGUAGGGGAGACUGGAAUUCCUGGUGUAGCGGUGAAAUGCGCAGAUAUCAGGAGGAACACCGGUGGCGAAGGCGGGUCUCUGGGCCGAUACUGACGCUGAGGAGCGAAAGCGUGGGGAGCGAACAGGAUUAGAUACCCUGGUAGUCCACGCUGUAAACGUUGGGCGCUAGGUGUGGGGGGCCUCUCCGGUUCUCUGUGCCGCAGCUAACGCAUUAAGCGCCCCGC
rnacentral:rRNA from 1 species